rnacentral:rRNA from 1 species
UACGUAGGGCGCGAGCGUUGUCCGGAAUUAUUGGGCGUAAAGAGCUCGUAGGCGGCCUGUUGCGUCUGCUGUGAAAUCCCGGGGCUUAACCCCGGGCGUGCAGUGGAUACGGGCAGGCUGGAGGCAGGCAGGGGGGAAUGGAAUUCCCGGUGUAGCGGUGAAAUGCGCAGAUAUCGGGAGGAACACCGGUGGCGAAGGCGGUUCUCUGGGCCUGUUCUGACGCUGAGGAGCGAAAGCGUGGGGAGCGAACAGG